rnacentral:lncRNA from 1 species
CUGAAACACUAAUGAAAGAAAGAAAAUCGGGCAGGCGUAGCCAGAAUGUGCGGGGAUUUUCCCCGCCCUGGACGGGGUGUACCGGCUCUACACAAUAUGCAUCGUUUUGUUUUCUGGAUAAUCAUCUUAGGAAAAUCACACUACAGUGAGAGAAGAAACCUGUCGAUUUCUUCACUCUGUCCCAUCCACCGGUACCACGUCAGCAUUCAGGAAAGCUGAAAAAUUCUGACAGCUUCGAGAGUCUUCCUGUGCAAGACGGCCUUUUCAACAAGGACUUGUCGCUGACCAGGGGAAAAAAGAAGGUCAUUCUCUAAGACAGGAUGCCGAGAGGACAAGCUGUGAAUGGGACUCGCGCUGUGCGAAGGACACCAUCGUACAAGUAAAGAAUGCAGCCUGGUCCCCAAGGAUAUUAUUCAUGAUCCUGGAGGGGAGGAUAAACAGGCAACCAGACGCUCGCCUAAGCAACUACCAUAACAAUAUUCUGAAUUCCAGAAAAUCCUCCAACAAUGACUGUAAAUUCCUGGCCGCUCGCUUGCUUAUUUAAAUAUCAGCACUUUUAGGGAAAAGGCUUCAUUUCGGGCUAGGACGGCCACCGAUGACACCCAAAAUUUGGGGCCACGGAGAUCCACGGGAGGUUACAACCGUUAAGCUGACCAUACAAUUUGACGAAAUGAUGUCGUAGGAAUCAUUUUGCAGCAGUUCCCCAAGUUCGUCGAAACCUGGAGCAUUUCUCCUGCCGGGAUCCCCACCCACUCCUCCACUUCUCCAACUUUCGGGGCCUUUGCAUUCCCCUCUCAGACCACUGUGGACACAGGCACCACUUCUAGUCACAGCGGAGGGAGGCUGGGUGCUGAAAAUUACAGUCAGCCGGUCAAUCGUAUUUAUUGAGCGCUUCCUUGCGUGCAAAGCACUGUACUAAGCGCUUGGGAGAGUACACUAUAACAAUAAACAAUUUCCCUGCCCGCAACAAGCUUACCUUCUAGAGGGGGAG